GACAGAGGGUGCAAACGUUGUUCGGAAUUACUGGGCGUAAAGCGCGUGUAGGCGGCUUUGCAAGUCGGGUGUGAAAGCCCUCAGCUCAACUGAGGAAGUGCGCCCGAAACUGCAGAGCUUGAGUACCGGAGAGGAUGGCGGAAUUCCCGAAGUAGAGGUGAAAUUCGUAGAUAUCGGGAGGAACACCGGUGGCGAAGGCGGCCAUCUGGACGGAUACUGACGCUGAGACGCGAAAGCGUGGGGAGCAAACAGG
rnacentral:rRNA from 1 species